UACGGGGGGAGCAAGCGUUGUUCGGAUUUACUGGGCGUAAAGGGCGCGUAGGCGGUCGUGACAAGUCACUUGUGAAAUCUCCGGGCUUAACUCGGAACGGUCAAGUGAUACUGUCGGACUAGAGUACAGAAGGGGCAACUGGAAUUCUCGGUGUAGCGGUGAAUGCGUAGAUAUCGAGAGGAACACCUGCGGCGGAAGGCGGCGACCUGGGUCGAGACUGACGCUGAGGCGCGAAAGCGUGGGGAGCAAACAGG
rnacentral:rRNA from 1 species